CUAUCUGCUAGAAUGUAUAUCCGUAUCGGACGGCAAGUAUACGACUACUUGCCAGAUAAGGUGUCAAAAAACACCGGAACGGGUUAUUCAGGCCAGAUAAGAUCACAUUCUUAUCUGGCCUGAUUUUUUU
rnacentral:ncRNA from 1 species